AGUGUUUAUCUACACUUCAAGUUUUCCAACGAAAUGAUUCAGGUCAAUAUAAUUUUUCAGCUGCAAGCGCGUGGCAGCGCGUGGUUGCCAGCCUCCACAGAUCAUUGAUCUGCUCAAAAUUAAAACUUAUGACUGAUAUUUCUGAGGUGGAAUUCCAAGAAUAUGAAUACAACACACUGGCCCAUGCAUGUGACCUUCUUCAUAAGCAGUUUGAGGAAGGGCAGGAGACAAAGGCUGAGCUGCAGCGAGGAAUGUCAAAGGCCAACAGCGAAGUUGCUUAGUGAAGAAGAAAAUAUGAAAAUGACGCCAUCCAGCACACUGAGGAGCUUGAAGAGGCCAAGUAUGAACAUCAUAAGAAGAAGAAGUUGGCUCAGUGUCUACAGAAGGCAAAAAAACAAUCUGAGGCCAUAGACUCCAAAUGUGCCUCUCUGGAGAAGACCACCUAUGGUGAGGUCCAAUCAGGACCUCGUGAUUGAUGUGGAGAGAACCAAUGCUUUGGCUGCCAACCUUGACAAAAAAGUAAGAAAUAUGAGUUAUUAUAUGAGAUUCUCUUUCUAAAUCAUUGCUGCAAUGGGUUUUGAAGAUGGUAUAAACAAGCUUGAGCUUGAAAUAUCUUCAUCAAAGGUAGAAUGAAAGUAGAAAUAUGAGGAAGGCUCAUAAGAAUGUAUCUUCUGUAAAUUAUUAAAUGAAACCCUAUUAUUCACCUUUUUUCAUUCACAUCUGAUUUUCAAGAGUGUUGAAUAUGGAGUUUUAAAUGCAUCUUUGCUAUAAA